rnacentral:rRNA from 1 species
CGGCACGGGUGAGUAACACGUAUCCAACCUGCCGUCUACUCUUGGCCAGCCUUCUGAAAGGAAGAUUAAUCCAGGAUGGCAUCAUGAGUUCACAUGUCCGCAUGAUUAAAGGUAUUUUCCGGUAGACGAUGGGGAUGCGUUCCAUUAGAUAGUCGGCGGGGUAACGGCCCACCUAGUCAACGAUGGAUAGGGGUUCUGAGAGGAAGGUCCCCCACAUUGGAACUGAGACACGGUCCAA